UGCAUCACAUUUGGAGGGAUUGCUUAUUAAGAUGGUAGAAAUCUGGAUCCACAACAGACACUGAAUCAUGCUUAUUAAAAUGGUAGAUAUCUGGGUCCACAGCAGACACUGAUUCAAACCCUAGGAAGUGAGUGUGGCAUAGCCACUUCUUUCUGAUGGCUGUCCAUGUUAAAACGUAUUGCUAGUGUGUUUGAUAUUCUGUCUUCCAGGAUAUGAAGUCACAGACUGCUUAAGUCCAUACCAUGUUCUCUUGUUACUGACUUAAAUACCACUGUGUUGCAUGGCAUAUCAAAUAGACAAAUCAAUUCCUUCGUGUACGUUUAUCCAGAUAUUCACAUAGUGGCCUCUUUAGUGAACACCUUGUUCCUGCACUGUGAAGACUAGCACGGGUCCUUGUAUAUCGUGUUAGAUAGGUAAACUGUCAGUAAGCAGAAGAAAUCAGUAAUCACAGCAAUUCCGUGUAUUAUUGGCGCUUUAAAGAUCAUAAAGGGGACAGGAAAUAGUUGUGAUGGGGAUUGUCGUAUGUGAUGUUACCCCCAAAGGUUUCAGAAGUUAGCAUGUGAUCUGAGUCCUGAAUGGCAAAUAGAAGCAAGACCAUGCACAAACCAAGUUGUGGGCGUGCUUGCUUCCAUGGAGAACAGUGGAUCUAAGAGCAGAGAACAAGGCUAGUUGCCAGAACCUUGAAGACAACGUGGACACUGCUUGGGGAUAGGACAGAAAGGAAAAUGUUGUCAUUGUCAGCUGUGUAUGACAUUUGGAUUAUAUGAUCUGUGUGGAAGGGUCUGGGUCAUUGGCUGUGCACACACAUCCACAGACAGUACAACAACAGCCUCUAGUCCCUUGUUGCUGACCUUUGGGAAGCUGGGCAUGUAAGAUAUAUGUCUUGAAAAAAGCAAUCAUUUUAGAGUCUAUUUCAGUCAGCAAUAAGAACAUCGGUUAUUUUUGGCUUUUGUUUUGUGUUUGGUAAGUUAUGUCCAUUUACAUUUUUUACAUUUAUUUGUCUGCCUAUUUUGUGUGUCUGGCAAGGCCAUACAUGAUCUACAGUGUACUUGUAGAGGUCAGAGGACAACUUGCAGGAGUCAUUUCUCUGCUUCCACAAUGUGGGUCCUUGGGAUCCAACUGAAGUCAUCAGAAGCAGUACUCGGGCUUCUAUUACACUUUAAUACGAUCUACAUAUAAGAACAGGGGAGAAAACAGUGAACUUUCCAUGCAGAACCAACUCCUGGAGAAGAACCAAAAGUGGUGUGGUCUGUUCAGCCUGUUACCUGAGCAACAGUGACAAGAUCAUGUGGGACUCACCAGGUCAGUCAUUUCCUUUUCUCUUCCCAUCCGUGUGACCAGCAGCUGGUCUGUGAUGCCUUGUAGGAACACAUCCUGUUGAGCAGGUAGCAGCAAGAGCAG